ACUGCCACAGAAGCAUUACAGAUGUGGCUGGUAUGUCACGUGUGUCAUUAGAUGGUAGAGGAGAGAUGUGUCUCCACCCAGUGUUCUGACCUGUGAACACCUGGACGACUGAUAAUCUGACACA
ensembl:snoRNA